GGCGUUAUAGUGUAGUGGUCAUCACUCGGGAUUUUGACUGCAAUGUGGUGGAGAAUUUCCCGUAACCCAGGUUCGAACCCUGGUAAUGCCA